GUGGGUUUAGCCUAGUCAGGAAAGUGCUUGCUUUGCAAGCAUGAGGAUCUGAAUUCAAUUCCCAGAACCUGCU
rnacentral:tRNA from 1 species